AGCAGCCGCGGUAAUUCCAGCUCCAAUAGCGUAUAUUAAAGUUGUUGCAGUUAAAAAGCUCGUAGUUGAAUUUCGGGGUUAGUAGGUUGGUCAUGCCUCUGGUAUGUACUGGUCUCACUGAUUCCUCCUUCCUGAUGAGCCGUAAUGCCAUUAAUUUGGUGUUGCGGGGAAUUUGGACUGUUACUUUGAAAAAAUUAGAGUGUUUAAAGCAAGCUAACGCUUGAAUACAUUAGCAUGGAAUAAUGAAAUAGGACGUUCGAUCCUAUUUUGUUGGUUUCUAGGAUUGACGUAAUGAUUAAUAGGGAUAGUUGGGGGCAUUAGUAUUCAAUUGUCAGAGGUGAAAUUCUUGGAUUUAUUGAAGACUAACUACUGCGAAAGCAUUUGCCAAGGAUGUUUUCAUUAAUCAAGAACGAAAGUUAGGGGAUCGAAGACGAUCAGAUACCGUCGUAGUCUUAACCAUAAACUAUGCCGACUAGGGAUCGGAUGAUGUUAAUUCUUUAAUGACUCAUUCGGCGCCUUACG
rnacentral:rRNA from 1 species